rnacentral:rRNA from 1 species
UACGUAGGCUGCGAGCGUUGUUCGGAAUUACUGGGCGUAAAGAGUGUGUAGGCGGUGCUCCCAGUCUGUUGUGAAAUCUCCCGGCUUAACUGGGAGGGUGCAGCGGAAACUAGAGUGCUAGAGGGUGGGAGAGGGGGGUGGAAUUCCGCGUGUAGCAGUGAAAUGCGUAGAGAUGCGGAGGAACACCGAUGGCGAAGGCAGCCCCCUGGGCUGACACUGACGCUCAGGCACGAAAGCGUGGGGAGCAAACAGG